GGAAACAAGAUUUUCUUGCUUUUAAAUUUUUUUUAAAACUUAUUUCCAUUUUUUCUUCGUCUUCUUCUUCCUAUUUCUUCUUCCCGUAGCCACACAGAGCCAAGACCUUUACCUCAAGCAUCAAUGGCUUCUGAGUUCCCUCCAAACUUUGUUCGGGUUAUUGGAUCUAUGAAGGAAUGAAGUAAGCAUUGAGGUUAUGAGGUUGAAUCUUUUCUUCUGUUAAGGUAUGAAUAUAUUUCUAAUUUUUUUUUGGAUUAGGGUUUGUAGUUUGUAACAUUGUUUAUUCGAUUAUUGUCUAUUGUUGAUUUGAUACAUGGUUAUUCACCAGUUGUUUCAUGAUUAUCUUUUAUCAUUUUAUUAUGGUUAUCUGAUUGUUGAAUCUCAUUGUCAAAAUUGAGACCUUACCAGGUAUUGAAUUUGUUUGUGGUGUAUUUAAUAAAAUUUCAGAGAGGGCUUCCUUCUUAUUUUGACCUUUUGUAAUUUUGUUUCCACCUAAGCAUUGGAGAAAAUGGGGGUUUAGAUUUUACUUUAUGAGAAUGAAUUGAAAUAUUAACUUUUGUUCAUACAUUAGCUUUUUUUGUCGAAUUACAGUGAAUUGAAAUGGGGGUUAAUUGUGAAGCUAUUACUCUGAAUUUUGGCCACUGUUUGAUAAAAACUCAGGUAGACAUAUUCAUACACUAGCUUGGCUUGUUUGAUUACAAGGAAUUGAAAUGUCUUUUAUCCAUUGUUAAUUACAUAUUUUAUUAGUUGAUUUUGAUGUUCCGGUCAUGGUUACUUUAUGGAUGAUAUUUUAAUUGACUGAUUUUGAAGCUAUUGCUCUGAAUUUUGGUCACUGUUUGAUAAAAAAUCCAGACAGGCAUGUUCAUGCUCUAACUUAGCUCUGCUUAUUUUGCUUUGAAUGCCAUUUCUCUAUGCUAAUGCUCUUAAUCAGAACAAAUGAGUAGAAUGACAUUUGAUAAAUUAAAUACCUCUCCAAACAAGAUCUUUUCAUAUUUAUUGUAGUAGCUGGCUUCAUUGGUUUCCUUGCAUUGUCUCCAAAAAGAAAGUGUGUCAAUAGUUGUCAAGGUCAUAUCUUAUUUGAUACAUAGAUUUUAUUGUCCUUUCUUUUUUUCAAGUUUCUGCUUAGUGCUUUUAUUUUAGCUGACCCUAGACCUUAAAGCACUUUCUGUCUUUGAUUUAUAAAAUAUAUGAGCAUUGAUUGUCGUCAAUUCAUCAUUGAUCUUUUCUAGAUCAAGUCUCUAUUAAGUUCAAGUCUAGAUCUUUUUGCUUGUCUAAGCAUUAUGAGAAUAAACUACUUUGCUGAAAGAGCUUAUAUCUAUUGGAUUGGCCUUGAGUGGAGAUCAGAAACUGGGGGCAGUUUUAUGAAUUUAAUGGUAAUAAGUCCAUUUUGAAAAAGUAGUCUGGGUGAUAAAUUGGAGAACCCAUUUUGGAAAUACUUUUACAUUUUAGUUUGACAAGUACAUAUUCGUUGUUUAUUUUGAGAUAACUGUGUGAUGAAGUAAGUUAAGUUAGGAUGAUAGUUUUGAAACCACUGUAAUUAUGAAUGUGGAGUUGUUCUAAAACUUUUGCUGCAUGCACUUUAUCUUUUGGUGGAUGCAUUCAAGAUAGAUUUUAUUUAUUAUUGAAUUUGAUUUUGUAGCUACUUUAGUUUACUAUGGUUUUAUAUGUUAUGUAGCUAUGUGAGUCGUCUACUCUAAAUAUUACUAAUCCAACUUUUUUAAGUUGCUUUUUUCAAAGAAUUGAGGUUGAUGAUGUUGUAUACCUUCAGCUAAAGCAUCUUAUAUAAGCCAAAUUGGAGAAGCUAAAGCAUCUUAUAUAAGCCAAAUUGGAGAAGGUGAGUUAGUGGGCAGUAGUAAAAUACCAUCAUGUUCACUAUAGAGUAGCAUAAGUUAAAGCAGAAUAAAACAUUUUAAUGUGACAUUUUCCAGGAAAAAUAACUACAAUAAUGGACAGUAAGUCAUUGAGCGGUGUUGAAGGCUCGCUUUCCAAUCAUAAAGCAAAUGCCUUUAUAUGAUCUAAGAAUACAAAAGUACAUUGUCAUUGCUUGCUGUGGGAUUCACAAUUUUAUAAGGACAAAUGUAGAAGCAGAUUUAUAUUUUGAUGGCGGUGAAGGAAAUUCUGAAGUACAGGCCACUACUUUACAAAGCACGAUGGAACUUUGACUGAUAGUGUAGAGUUCAGUAUUUCUAGAACUCAUAUACGUGAAAUGGCUCAUGUUCGUGAUGAAAUUGCUGACCAUAUAUGGAGAGCUAGUCGACGAUAGUGAGAUUGAGUAAAGACAUUAGUUGAUUCUUAUGACUCGUUUAAUACUUUAUUUUAAGUUUGGAUAAUUAUCACUUCAUUUGUUUUUAUUUUACUAUGUAAACUUUUUUGAUUUUGUGUUAUCUCGUGGAUAGAUAUUAAGUUUUGAAAUUUGAGAUUA